UUAUUAUUUACAUAUGUUCUGUACACGUUGUAUAUCAAAGUCAAAGUUUUAUUCUGAACAUAAAUGUUGUAAUAAUUAUAAAUGGUUCAAACAUUAAAGGAUCUAACAGAAUGGGAUUUUUUAAAAGAAUUCUAGAGUAAUAGUGAAAGUUGAUGAGAAACCAGUGCACGAAGAUAUAGUUCUCGAUCUUGAGAAGAACACGUUAUUGGUCAAUGUUGGUGAUGUGAGCCACCUUGGACCAAAAU
rnacentral:lncRNA from 1 species